rnacentral:lncRNA from 1 species
CUAUGUGUGUGUAUACAUGUGUACGCAUGUAUCUACAUGUUUACAUAUGUAUACGUGUGUAUAUACAUGUAUGUGCACAUGUAUGUGUAUGUAUGCGUGUGUACAUAUGUGUAUGUGUGUAUAUAUGUGUGUGCGUGUGUGUGUGUGCACGCACACAUGCAUGCGCUUUUGGUUUUUUAAAGACAAGGUCUUACUGUGUUCCUCGGGCUAGACUUGACCUCCUGGGCCCAAGCAAUCCUCCCACCUCAGCUUCCUGAGUACAGGCACACAACCACUGUGUCCUUGACUACAUUUCAACCAUAAAUUCACAGGAGUAAUAACCCAAGGGGAAAUCUUAAAGAAUAAAGUAAGCCCUCUCCCUCUCCCUCUCCCUCUCCCUACGGUCUCUCUCCCCCUCUCUUUCCACGGUCUCCCUCUGAUGCCGAGCCGAAGCUGGACUGUACUGCUGCCAUCUCGGCUCCCUGCAACCUCCCUGCCUGAUUCUCCUGCUUCAGCCUGCCGAGUGCCUGCAAUUGCAGGCACGCGCCGCCAUGCCUGACUGGUUUUCGUAUUUUUUUGGUGGAGACGGGGUUUCGCUGUGUUGGCCGGGCUGGUCUCCAGCUCCUAACCGCGAGUGAUCCGCCAGCCUCGGCCUCCCGAGGUGCCGGGAUUGCAGACGGAGUCUCGUUCACUCAGUGCUCAAUGGUGCCCAGGCUGGAGUGCAGUGGCGUGAUCUCGGCUCGCUACAACCUCCACCUCCCAGCCGCCUGCCUUGGCCUCCCAAAGUGCCGAGAUUGCAGCCUCUGCCUGGCCGCCACCCCAUCUGGGAAGUGAGGAGCGUCUCUGCCUGGCCGCCCAUCGUCUGGGAUGUGAGGAGCCCCUCUGCCUGGCUGCCCAGUCUGGAAAGUGAGGAGCGUCUCUGCCCGGCCGCCAUCCCAUCUAGGAAGUGAGGAGCGCCUCUUCCCAGCCGCCAUCCCAUCGAGGAAGUGAGGAGCGUCUCUGCCCGACCACCCAUCGUCUGAGAUGUGAGGAGCGCCUCUGCCCCGCCGCCCCGUCUGGGAUGUGAGGAGCGCCUCUGCCUGGCCGCGACCCCGUCUGGGAGGUGAGGAGCGUCUCUGCCCGGCCGCCCCGUCUGAGAAGUGAGGAGACCCUCUGCCCGGCAGCCGCCCCGUCUGGGAAGUGAGGAGCGUCUCCGCCCGGCAGCCACCCCGUCCGGGAGGGAGGUGGGGGUCAGCCCCCCGCCCGGCCAGCCGCCCCGUCCGGGAGGGAGGUGCGGGUCAGCCCCCCGCCUGGCCAGCCGCCCCGUCCGGGAGGGAGGCGGGGGGUCAGCCCCCCGCCCGGCCAGCCGCCCCGUCCAGGAGGGAGGUGGGGGUCAGCCCCCCGCCCGGCCAGCCGCCCCGUCCAGAAGGUGAGGGGCGCCUCUGCCCGGCCGCCCCUACUGGGAAGUGAGGAGCCCCUCUGCCUGGCCACCACCCCGUCUGGGAGGUGUACCCAAUAGCUCAUUGAGAACGGGCCAUGAUGACAAUGGCGGUUUUGUGGAAUAGAAAAGGGGGAAAGGUGGGGAAAAGAUUGAGAAAUCCGAUGGUUGCUGUGUCUGUGUAGAAAGAAGUAGACAUGGGAGACUUUUCAUUUUGUUCUGUACUAAGAAAAAUUCUUCUGCCUUGGGAUCCUGUUGAUCUAUGACCUUACCCCCAACCCUGUGCUCUCUGAAACAUGUGCUGUGUUCACUCAGGGUUAAAUGGAUUAAGGGCGGUGCAAGAUGUGCUUUGUUAAACAGAUGCUUGAAGGCAGCAUGCUCUUUAAGAGUCAUCACCACUCCCUAAUCUCAAGUACCCAGGGACACAAACACUGCGGAAGGCCGCAGGGUCCUCUGCCUAGGAAAACCAGAGACCUUUGUUCACUUGCUUAUGUGCUGAC